AGGCAGAACUUGUACUUGGAACCUAAUCAGGAAGAAGACCUGCUACAACCAACACCAGCACUGUGCAGAGGGUCACCGCAGCACCCGGAACCUGACAUGAAAUUCACAAUCUCCACGAGAUAAGGCACAGCCAAAACAGCACGGGAUGACAAAACCUGAACUUGCUAUGGGAAUUUCCAAACAGAUAAGAACUUAAGAACUUUGCAAACACACCCCAGGUUGAAAGACAAGAGAAACUUGAAGAAAAUAGCAAUAUGAGCAGUGAAAAUAUGAGCACCUUUCUUAAAAGGUCCUCAUAAGAACUACAACACAAAAGAGACCAAGGCCCUGACUGUCUCCUAUUCAACAGAAUCAGUACUCAGAUGAGUGCCAUCAAGAUCUCUUUAGUCUCCAUAAGUGAUUGCAAACACUUGACAAUCAAGAUUAAUGUCUGACCUGUCGCAGCCAAGUGGAGAAGGAAGUCCCCGAGUUCCUACGCUUCUCUUCAGCUGACUUUUGCCAGCACGAACACAGGAAACGGAACACAGCUGCAUCAGUCUAGCAAUGCAGGUCUGCAGGAUAGGGAUGAUGCAAGGACCACUGGGCCAGGACACAGCUGAAAUGCCACGCUCUGAGUUCCCAGGAGUUUAGGUACCAGUCUCAACAACUGAUGGACCCAAAAGCCCAGGACAGCCCAUGAGAGCUCCACAUUCACUUGGCCAUGAGGACUGCUUCAGGCAUGUGAUCAAGCCAGGCCAAUCAGAACCUUUGGACUUGACAGUGAGGCCUUCACAUUCCUGAAGUGAACUUCCAACAGGCUGCUUCAAAUCUCCAAACUGGCCAACAUCGAAAUGUUUGGACAGACGCUCUGCUGUCUCCCUGAUUGUACACCUGGAUGCAAUCAUGUUUCCAAGGCAAGGCCACAUUGCAAGUGAACUGCUUUUUCAAAUUUCA